GGGGAAGUUACAGCCCAGCAAGCUUCCAAAAAGUGGGAGAACCUGAAAAAGAAAUACAAGGACCUGAAACUUGUAAAGUCUGGCUCCGGCACAGAGGAGGGGGAAACCACUGCUGCCAAUUGGCCCUAUUUUGAAGAGAUGCACAGGGUGCUGGGAUCCAGACCUUCGGUGGACCCCCCUGUAGUUGUUGCAUCUUAUUCACAGGAUCCAACAGCCUUAUUGAUGGAAAUGGUGGAGCCUAGCACAUCUGGGGCAUCCUCUUCAGCUUCACUUGUAUCUUCCACUCCUGCCAGUGCUGCCACUCCAUCCUCCACCAUCACACAGCCGACGCCUCCCCCAGAAUCACCCUCCCCACGAAUAAAGAAAAGGAAGUCUCACCAUCUGCUGGAAUUUCUGAAAGGGGAAUCAGCCAAGGAGCAGAGAAGACAUGAGGAGAGUGAGAGGAAGACAGACAGGCUCCUUGAACUUUUUGAAAAAAUGGUGGACAAAAUUUAGCCAAGUUGGAUGUUAAUUUUUAGGCCUUAUCUUUUUUUUUUUUUGUAAGUUUCUAUAA